rnacentral:misc_RNA from 1 species
GAAAUGCGAUAAGUAGUGUGAAUUGCAGAAUUCAGUGAAUCAUCGAAUCUUUGAACGCACAUUGCGCCCCUUGGUAUUCCAUGGGGCAUGCCUGUUCGAGCGUCAUUUGUACCCUCAAGCUCUGCUUGGUGUUGGGUGUUUGUCCCGUCUCCGCGCGUGGACUCGCCCCAAAGUGAUUGGCAGCCGGCGUACUGGUCCCGGAGCGCAGCACAUGUGUCGCAAACGAGUGCCUUGGUACGGCGGCGUCCAUAAGCCCCUCUCUCACGCUCUUGACCUCGGAUCAGGUAGGGAUACCCGCUGAACUUAAGC